UACGAGGGGGGCGAGCGUUGUUCGGAAUUAUUGGGCGUAAAGGGCGCGUAGGCGGUUUGGUAAGUCUCGUGUGAAAUCUCCGGGCUCAACUCGGAGCCUGCACGAGAAACUGCCGGGCUUGAGUGUGGGAGAGGUGAGUGGAAUUCCUGGUGUAGCGGUGAAAUGCGUAGAUAUCAGGAGGAACACCUGUGGCGAAAGCGGCUCACUGGACCAUAACUGACGCUGAUGCACGAAAGCUAGGGGAGCAAACAGG
rnacentral:rRNA from 1 species